UACGGAGGUGGCGAGCGUUGUCCGAAGUUACUGGGCGUAAAGCGCGCGUAGGCGGGCUGUUAAGUGAGAGGUGAAAUCCCGGGGCUCAACUCCGGAACUGCCUCUCAUACUGGCAGUCUUGAGGGCGGUAGGGAGAAGUGGAAUGGCUGGUGUAGCGGUGAAAUGCGUAGAUAUCAGUCGGAACACCGGUGGCGAAGGCGGCUUCUUGGGCCGUUCCUGACGCUGAAGCGCGAAAGCCAGGGGAGCGAACGGG
rnacentral:rRNA from 1 species